rnacentral:rRNA from 1 species
GUGCAGCAGGCGCGAAACCUCCGCAAUACACGAAAGUGUGACGGGGCCAUCCCGAGUGCCGUCCGCUGAGGACGGCUUUUCCCCAGUGUACACAGCUGGGGGAAUAAGGAGAGGGCAAGCCUGGUGUCAGCCGCCGCGGUAAUACCAGCUCUCCGAGUGGUGGGGACGCUUAUUGGGCCUAAAGCAUCCGUAGCCGGCUGGGCAAGUCCUCCGUUAAAUCCAACGAUUCAAUCGUUGGGCUGCGGGGGAUACUGUCCAGCUUGGGGGCGGGAGAGGCCGACGGUAUUCCCGGGGUAGGGGUGAAAUCCUAUAAUCCCGGGAGGACCACCAGUGGCGAAGGCUGUCGGCUAGAACGCGCCCGACGGUGAGGGAUGAAAGCUGGGGGAGCGAACCGGAUUAGAUA